ACUGAAGGGGAAACUCGCAUCUCCGUAUUUGUUGCAAGCACCUUUGGCAAGGUCAAAAAAGGCAUGAACAUUGACAGCCACGAAAUGAUUGAUUACAGCAGGAGCCAUAGAAAUUCCCAAAAUUAAAAUAAACACAACGGAAAACCUCACUUUCAUUUCCAAAUAAAAUGUGUAUUCAAAUGUAGCCAACACAUUUAAAUAAAACAAAUACAUUCGAAUGCAGUGAAGACAUACCGAGAUUAUGUAAUGAUCGAUUGUGCACGCAAAUGCAUGAGACAAAUGAAAACAACCCUACGAUAUUAAAGGUAUUAAACUGGUUCGCUAAAUAGCUCUAUUUCAAGUUGUAACAUGAAAAAAGAGAGACGUAACAACGAAUGCCUAAUGCCUUUCAUCUUUGACUGUGAUGCUUGUGUUUUGCAUUCUAUUUUAACCAUUAGAAUAUCAAACGAGGCCGUUGACAAUCCUGCGAGAGCCAUCAAAGUGACUCUCAAGCAGUCCAGUGCAGCGGUGGUCCAGCGCGACGGAGCGCCUACUCGGGGCACAAUCGUGCGUCAACAGACACUGGAGCUUUCUAGACAAACCAGAGGGGCCCUCUUUUUCUGAACGUUUUUUUUUUUGCCAUAUGAAAUUUCAUCUGCGUGUGGCUAGAAGCCAGUGGGCUAUUCGUUACAAGACCGCGCGCACGAACGUAAAUAAUUUAGUUUGGCCAAUGACCAGACUGGCACCAGCACCAGCAAGGCAGCGAGCAUAAACCUACAAAGGGACAGAACGCGAAGCCGUCAAGCAGAGGCGGCCGAGGGGUCUCUCACUUACGUGGGCGACAGCACCGCACUGCAGGGCUCGUCUCGGCCGAGGGAAACGCGAAGGGGGAGCGGCCGCCCUCUCUCGGGUUACACCUUGAACAAUGCAGCGCCACAAAGGCGGCUUUCACGGAGGCCUCUUUCAGGGACACCAUAUGCUCGGCACCGCGGCCGGCGCUUUAAUGGGCGGCUGGGAGGCGGCGCGCCUGAAACUCGACGCUCGCCCCAGCGGCCGUGCGCGGGGUGCGGCGUCGCGGAGCGAGCGGGCGCGCAGCAGCAGCCCCCCGG